UCAGCCAGGUGUUGGAUAUCCUGGUUCAAGCGUGUAGGCAGAUCUCUUAGGCAAAUCCGGGAGGUCAAUGCUGAGGCGUGAUAACGAGUGCACUUGUGCAUGAAGUGAUUGAUACCAAGCUUCCAAGAAAAGCCACUAAGCUUCAGUCAUAUUAAAACCGUACCGCAAACCGACACAGGUGGGCAGGAUGAGAAUUCUAAGGCGCUUGAGAGAACCCGGGAGAAGGAACUCGGCAAAUUAGCACCGUAACUUCGGGAGAAGGUGCGCCCCGGUAGUGUGUAUAGACUUGCUCUAGAAGCACGAUGGGGUUGCAGUGAAAAGGUGGCUGCGACUGUUUAAUAAAAACACAGCACUGUGCAAACACGAAAGUGGACGUAUACGGUGUGACGCCUGCCCGGUGCCGGAAGGUUAAAUGAUGGGGUGCAAGCUCUUGAUUGAAGCCCCGGUAAACGGCGGCCGUAACUAUAACGGUCCUAAGGUAGCGAAAUUCCUUGUCGGGUAAGUUCCGACCCGCACGAAUGGCGUAACGAUGGCCACACUGUCUCCUCUCGGGACUCAGCGAAGUUGAAAUGUUUGUGAAGAUGCAAUCUACCCGCGGCUAGACGGAAAGACCCCAUGAACCUUUACUGUAGCUUUACAUUGGACUUUGACAAGAUUUGUGUAGGAUAGGUGGGAGACUUUGAAGCGGGGACGCUAGUUCUCGUGGAGUCAACCUUGAAAUACCACCCUGAUGUUGUUGAGGUUCUAACCUAGGUCCAUUAUCUGGAUCGGGGACCGUGUAUGGUGGGCAGUUUACUGGGGCGGUCUCCUCCCAAAGAGUAACGGAGGAGUGCGAAGGUAACCUAGGUACGGUCGGAAAUCGUACUGAUAGUGCAAUGGCAUAAGGUUGCUUGACUGCGAGACGGACAGGUCGAGCAGGUGCGAAAGCAGGUCAUAGUGAUCCGGUGGUUCUGUAUGGAAGGGCCAUCGCUCAACGGAUAAAAGGUACUCUGGGGAUAACAGGCUGAUUCCUCCCAAGAGUUCAUAUCGACGGGGGAGUUUGGCACCUCGAUGUCGGCUCAUCACAUCCUGGGGCUGUAGCCGGUCCCAAGGGUAUGGCUGUUCGCCAUUUAAAGUGGUACGUGAGCUGGGUCUAAAACGUCGUGAGACAGUUUGGUCCCUAUCUGCCGUGGGCGUUGGAAAUUUGAAGGGGGCUGCUCCUAGUACGAGAGGACCGGAGUGGACGCAUCUCUGGUGGACCGGUUGUCACGCCAGUGGCAUAGCCGGGUAGCUAAAUGCGGAAGAGAUAAACGCUGAAAGCAUCUAAGCGUGAAACUUGCCUUGAGAUGAGAUUUCCCGUGGGUUUAACCCACCUAAAGAGUCGUUCGAGACCAGGACGUUGAUAGGUCGGAUGUCGAAGCGCAGUAAUGCGCUAAGCUUACCGAUACUAAUUGCUCGUGAGGCUUGAUCCC
rnacentral:rRNA from 1 species